rnacentral:rRNA from 1 species
CCUACGGGUGGCUGCAGUGGGGAAUAUUGGACAAUGGGGGAAACCCUGAUCCAGCAAUGCCGCGUGUGUGAAGAAGGCCUGCGGGUUGUAAAGCACUUUCGGUUGGGAAGAAAAGUUUGGCGCCAAUACCGCCGAACCUUGACGUUACUGACAGAAGAAGCCCCGGCUAACUCUGUGCCAGCAGCCGCGGUAAUACAGAGGGUGCAAGCGUUAAUCGGGCGCGCGGAGCUUAAAGCGCACGUCGGGGGUCAAAUCCCCGGGCUUAACCUGGGAACUGCAUUCGAUACUACAUGGCUAGAGUAUGGUAGAGGGAAGUGGAAGUUCCGGUGUAGCGGUGAAAUGCGUAGAUAUCGGAAGGAACACCAAUGGCGAAGGCAGCUUCCUGGACUAAUACUGACACUGAGGCACGAAAGCGUGGGUAGCAAACAGGAUUAGAUACCCCUGUAGUC